rnacentral:rRNA from 1 species
GAACUGAAGAGUUUGAUCAUGGCUCAGAUUGAACGCUGGCGGCAGGCCUAACACAUGCAAGUCGAGCGGAUGAGGAGAGCUUG